UGGGGUAAACACGUGUCCUAGCAGCCUUU
rnacentral:piRNA from 1 species